GGCUUGGGGGCUUGCUCCCGGGUUAGCGGCGAACGGGUGAGUAAUAUAUCGGAACAUAUCCGGAAGUGGGGGAUAACGUAGCGAAAGUUACGCUAAUACCGCAUAUGCCCUGAGGGGGAAAGGGGGGGAUCGCAAGACCUCUCGCUUUCGGAGUGGCCGAUACCGGAUUAGCUAGAUGGUGAGGUAAAGGCUCACCAUGGCGACGAUCCGUAGCGGGUCUGAGAGGACGACCCGCCACACUGGAACUGAGACACGGUCCAGACUCCUACGGGAGGCAGCAGUGGGGAAUUUUGGACAAUGGGCGCAAGCCUGAUCCAGCCAUACCGCGUGAGUGAAGAAGGCCUUCGGGUUGUAAAGCUCUUUCAGCCGGAAAGAAAUUGCUUCUAUUAAUACUAGGGGUAGAUGACGGUACCGGAAGAAGAAGCACCGGCUAACUACGUGCCAGCAGCCGCGGUAAUACGUAGGGUGCGAGCGUUAAUCGGAAUUACUGGGCGUAAAGCGUGCGCAGGCGGUUUGGUAAGACAGAUGUGAAAUCCCCGGGCUUAACCUGGGAACUGCAUUUGUGACUGCCAGACUAGAGUGUAGCAGAGGGGGGUAGAAUUCCACGUGUAGCAGUGAAAUGCGUAGAGAUGUGGAGGAAUACCGAUGGCGAAGGCAGCCCCCUGGGCUAACACUGACGCUCAUGCACGAAAGCGUGGGGAGCAAACAGGAUUAGAUACCCUGGUAGUCCACGCCCUAAACGAUGUCAACUAGGUGUUGGGGAAGGAGACUUCUUUAGUACCGCAGCUAACGCGUGAAGUUGACCGCC
rnacentral:rRNA from 1 species